UUGACCUCGGAUCAGGUAGGAAUACCCGCUGAACUUAAGCAUAUCAAUAAGCGGAGGAAAAGAAACCAACAGGGAUUGCCUCAGUAACGGCGAGUGAAGCGGCAACAGCUCAAAUUUGAAAUCUGGCCUCUUUGGGGUCCGAGUUGUAAUUUGGAGAGGAUGUUUCGGGCACCGCCCCGGUCUAAAUUUCUUGGAACAGAAUGUCAGAGAGGGUGAGAAUCCCGUCUUGGACCGGCGGUAGGGCUCAUGUGAAACUCCUUCGACGAGUCGAGUUGUUUGGGAAUGCAGCUCAAAAUGGGUGGUAAAUUUCAUCUAAAGCUAAAUAUUGGCCAGAGACCGAUAGCGCACAAGUAGAGUGAUCGAAAGAUGAAAAGCACUUUGAAAAGAGAGUUAAACAGUAUGUGAAAUUGUUGAAAGGGAAGCGCUUGCGACCAGACUUGCGCGCGGCGGUUCCCCUGGCCUUUUGGCCAGGUUACUCCGUCGUGCCCAGGCCAACAUCGGUUCUGGGGGCCGGUCAAAGGCCCCGGGAAUGUAUCUACCCUUCGGGCGUAGACUUAUAGCCCGGGGUGUCAUGCGGCCUCCUGGGACCGAGGAACGCGCUUCGGCUCGGAUGUUGGCAUAAUGGUCGCCAGCGACCCGUCUUGAAACACGGACCAAGGAGUCGUAGAAUUUUGCGAGUGUUUGGGUGUCAAACCCGGAACGCGUAAUGAAAGUGAACGGAGGUAGGAAGCUUUGGCUGCACUAUCGACCGAUCCUGAUGUCUUCGGAUGGAUUUGAGUAAGAGCAAAAUUCUUCGGACCCGAAAGAUGGUGAACUAUGCCUGAAUAGGGUGAAGCCAGAGGAAACUCUGGUGGAGGCUCGCAGCGGUUCUGACGUGCAAAUCGAUCGUCAAAUUUGGGUAUAGGGGCGAAAGACUAAUCGAUC
rnacentral:rRNA from 1 species